CUGCUUCUUUUUAAUGAGGCACUUCUGUAUGUCUGUCAUCUAGACCUCCCCACAAGAAGGAAAUAUCUGGCGUGAGACUGACCUAAGAUGGAGGACCACUCGGAAUUGGAUUCAUGUACUCCUGGAAAAGAAAGCAGAGACUUGCCAAUAAGAGGGUUUGAUGGAAGCUGAUCCUGGAUCCUUGAAUGUUGGAGGAGGAGGCACCAGAAUAGGAAGGAGAAGAUGGGCAAGGGAGGACCACUAGAAAUCAAGCUGGCUGACUGCACCGCAAUUGCCCCAGGUCAGCCGUUCUUGGACCUAGAUUCGAACUCUAAAAAAGAUUCCCCUCCUUCCGAAAGUUUUCAUUUCCGAGAGAAAUAGCUUCUCUCCCUGCAUGUUUCCUUCAACUCUCAGUAAGACCUGUACAAGCACAUGAAAGCUGUAAACGUGGUACUUCACUGGAGCUGUUUAUUUUCAGUCGACAAAUAUUGUGCCGAUGUUCAGUUAGG